GACGAACGCUGGCGGCGUGCUUAACACAUGCAAGUCGAACGCUGAAGCUUGGUGCUUGCACUGGGUGGAUGAGUGGCGAACGGGUGAGUAAUACGUGAGUAACCUGCCCUUGACUCUGGGAUAAGCCUGGGAAACUGGGUCUAAUACUGGAUACGACAUGCCACUGCAUGGUGGUGUGUGGAAAGGGUUUUACUGGUUUUGGAUGGGCUCACGGCCUAUCAGCUUGUUGGUGGGGUAAUGGCCUACCAAGGCGACGACGGGUAGCCGGCCUGAGAGGGUGACCGGCCACACUGGGACUGAGACACGGCCCAGACUCCUAAGGGAGGCAGAAGUGGGGAAUAUUGAACAAUGGGCGGAAGCCUGAUGCAGAGACGCCGCGUGAGGGAUGACGGCCUUCGGGUUGUAAACCUCUUUCAGCACGGAAGAAGCGAGAGUGAAGGUACGUGAAGAAGAAGCGCAGGCUAACUACGUG
rnacentral:rRNA from 1 species